GAUGAAGAACGCAGCAAAAUGCGAUAAGUAAUGUGAAUUGCAGAAUUCAGUGAAUCAUCGAAUCUUUGAACGCACAUUGCGCCCGCUGGUAUUCCGGCGGGCAUGCCUGUUCGAGCGUCAUUUCAACCCUCAAGCCCCCGGGUUUGGUGUUGGGGAUCGGCUCUGCCCUUCUGGGCGGUGCCGCCCCCGAAAUACAUUGGCGGUCUCGCUGCAGCCUCCAUUGCGUAGUAGCUAACACCUCGCAACUGGAACGCGGCGCGGCCAUGCCGUAAAACCCCAACUUCUGAAUGUUGACCUCGGAUCAGGUAGGAAUACCCGCUGAACUUAAGCAUAUCAAUAAGCGA
rnacentral:misc_RNA from 1 species